rnacentral:lncRNA from 10 species
GCCUUAUUGAGGGGAGUGUUGGCAUACACGGAUUCUUAGCCUUGCACCUGGAGGUUUUGAUUCAGUAGGUCGAGGGCAAGGCCUCAGCAUCUGGGUUGUAUGAAGCUUGUCGGUGACUCUGAUGAUCAGCCAGGUGUGGGAACUGUGGACAGAGCAGCAAUCCUCAAAGUGUAUUUGCUCCCACGAAUUGCUGGGCGCUCCAUCUUUUGUGGCCCAGGGGCUGACCCCAGGAAGGUAGGGUGAGGGUGGAAAAGGCAAAAGCCAGGGGAAAUACAGGGCCUCGAAGUCUCACUGUUGUCCCACCUCCUGCCAGGUCAUGUGGUGGGACAUCCGAAAGAUGAGUGAGCCCACUGAGGUCGUGAUCAUGGACAUCACCAAAAAGGAGCAGUUGGAAAAUGCCUUGGGGGCCAUCUCCCUGGAGUUCGAAUCUACUUUGCCCACCAAGUUCAUGGUGGGGACUGAGCAGGGCAUCAUCAUCUCCUGCAACCGCAAGGCCAAGACAUCAGCUGAGAAGAUCGUGUGCACCUUCCCGGGCCAUCAUGGCCCCAUCUACGCCCUCCAGAGAAACCCCUUCUACCCGAAGAACUUCCUGACAGUUGGUGACUGGACAGCCCGCAUCUGGUCUGAAGACAGCCGGGAAUCGUCCAUCAUGUGGACCAAGUACCACAUGGCUUACCUCACUGAUGCCGCCUGGAGCCCCAUAAGGCCGGCCGUUUUCUUUACCACCAAGAUGGACGGAACCCUGGACAUCUGGGACUUUGUGUUCAAGCAGUGCGACCCCGCCCUCAGCCUGAAGGUCACGCGCAUAUCCCUCCCCGUGCAUCCUGGUCCUCAGGGAGCCAGGCCCCGGCGUGGGUGUGAGUGUGGGGUACUGUGAGCACUUGUGCAGUGUGUGGCCAGGUGCGUUUGGGCCUCUGUGGGGGAGCCGUGUGCAGGUUGACUGCAGAGAUUGCUUUGGAGUGCGUGCUCCUAGAAAGGUUAAGGGGCCUGGGGGACUUGGCACCCUGGUGGCACAACAAAACCACCUGGGGGAAAUUUAAAAAGAAACAAAAGCAGGUACCUGGCGUCUCCUGCCCACAGGCUGAUUCCUUCAGAGCCCCUGGGGUUUGGCUGCUGGACCUUCCCCUUCAUGUCAGGGCGGCCAGAGUGGAGCCCUGCUGGCUGGGGCCACGGAAGGGUGGGGGCGUUGGGGAACCACAGGGUGACUGUAAGGCAGAAGUGAAGGGGUAGGGCGGGAGAUGAGGCAGGGAAGCCAGGGACCUUAACAGCCAGUCUCCGAGUUUGAACUUCAUCCUGUGGGGCAGAAGCGUCCGUGAGGGUGUUUGAACAGAGCCAAGUGGCUGAGCCUCCCCAGGGGCCAAUUAAUCAGACACAUGUAACUUUGCUUCUCUCUCCUCUACCUGGGUCUGCCCGGCCCCUUCAACAGGUGUGUGACGAGGCCCUCUUCUGCCUCCGGGUGCAGGACAAUGGGUGUUUCAUCGCCUGCGGAUCCCAGCUGGGGACAACCACCCUGCUGGAGGUCUCGCCUGGGCUCUCUACCCUCCAGAGGAAUGAGAAGAACGUAGCCUCUUCCGUAAGCACCGCAUGCCUGGGGAGAACCCCUCCAGCACGUCCCGACCUGGCCCCACCGCAAAGCAGGCUGGUCAGAAAAAUAGAUAGCCCCUCCCUCCCACCCCCUAGGACAUGGGUGC